rnacentral:lncRNA from 1 species
UUGCUACCCUUUAUAGAUUGGGUUUAGGGCUCCUCCUAAUCUUAUUAGGAGUAUGGAACUAUAACCCACCCUUGGAUUAAUGCCAAGUAUCCAAUCUUUGUGCUCAUAGAUGCAUGACAUGUGUCCAUUUAAUCAAUUGAUUAAUUUUCUAAUUAUAUUAGGAUUCAUAAUCUCAUUAGGAGAAUUAAUUGAUUUGGGAGCAUGCAUCCUACGACGCCAUGUGGACUUUAAAGUCCGCAUAGUGUGAACAUGACUUAAGUCAUAUUCAUCCUACAAUGACAUGUGGCCUUUAAAAUCCGCACAAACCUUGGUUUAAUCAAAUUGACCCAAUCAUGAACCCAAAUCAAUUUGGAUCGAACCUAAUUUGAUUCGGCUCAUUAAAUCAGCCCAAUUGCAAUCCAAUUACAAUCAAUUCCACUUAAUUCUUCUUCCAUUAACUCACUAACACUUAGUGGAUUAAUUCAAUCACCAAUCAAAUUGAUGAUUGAUUUCUAUUAUGAUUCCAAAUCAUAAUUAUAAUAGUCUGACUAAUUAAAUCCUCUAUGUGUGUGACCCCGUAGAUUCUAUUCUGACUGGUAGUGAGAAAUAUUGAGAUCUCCAUCUCAAUAUCACUGAAACUCCUUUCAGUGGACUGAAACGAUUUCAGUUCUACACUUAGGGUUCACUGAUCACCAAGUGAAUGCCUUCGACUCUCACAAUCCACUAGUGAUACCUA